rnacentral:misc_RNA from 1 species
GGGCAAAAUGGAUGCAAAACUACCUUAAAAUGCCUAUAUGAAAUGAGUGUAACAAAUUCCCCCAAACUCAAACCUUUGCUUGUCCUCAAGCAAAUAAAAACAAUUAAUACAAUUUGGGGUACCUUACCUUAAAUUUAUGAAAAUUACUUAUCCAAACUCUCAAGCUUACUUUUAGCCACCAACAAAUCAUAUACCAACUUUCAAGGUACAAAGAAUUCAA